GACGAACGCUGGCGGCGUGCUUAACACAUGCAAGUCGAACGGAAAGGCCCUGCUUGCAGGGUACUCGAGUGGCGAACGGGUGAGUAACACGUGGGUGAUCUGCCCUGCACUUCGGGAUAAGCCUGGGAAACUGGGUCUAAUACCGGAUAGGAGCCAUUUUUAGUGUGAUGGUUGGAAAGUUUUUUCGGUGUAGGAUGAGCUCGCGGCCUAUCAGCUUGUUGGUGGGGUAAUGGCCUACCAAGGCGGCGACGGGUAGCCGGCCUGAGAGGGUGGACGGCCACAUUGGGACUGAGAUACGGCCCAGACUCCUACGGGAGGCAUCAGUGGGGAAUAUUGCACAAUGGGCGCAAGCCUGAUGCAGCGACGCCGCGUGGGGGAUGACGGCCUUCGGGUUGUAAACUCCUUUCGCUAGGGACGAAGCUUUUUGUGACGGUACCUAGAGAAGAAGCACCGGCUAACUACGUG
rnacentral:rRNA from 1 species